UACGAGAGGCCCAAACGUUAUUCGGAUUUACUGGGCUUAAAGAGUCCGUAGGCGGCGCAGAAAGUGGGGUGUGAAAGCCCUCGGCUUAACCGAGGAAUUGCGCUCCAAACUACUGUGCUUGAGGAAUCUAGAGGUGAGCGGAACUGAUGGUGGAGCGGUGAAAUGCGUUGAUAUCAUCAGGAACACCGGAGGCGAAGGCGGCUCACUGGGGAUUUUCUGACGCUGAGGGACGAAAGCCAGGGGAGCGAACGGG
rnacentral:rRNA from 1 species